rnacentral:rRNA from 1 species
GACGAACGCUGGCGGCGUGCCUAAUACAUGCAAGUCGAGCGAAGUUUUUCUGGUGCUUGCACUAGAAAAACUUAGCGGCGAACGGGUGAGUAACACGUAAAGAACCUGCCUCAUAGACUGGGACAACUAUUGGAAACGAUAGCUAAUACCGGAUAACAGUAUUUCUCGCAUGAGAGAUAUUUAAAAGUUGGUUAUGCUAACACUAUGAGAUGGCUUUGCGGUGCAUUAGCUAGUUGGUGGGGUAAAGGCCCACCAAGGCGACGAUGCAUAGCCGACCUGAGAGGGUGAUCGGCCACACUGGGGCUGAGACACGGCCCAGACUCCUACGGGAGGCAGCAGUAGGGAAUCUUCCGCAAAGGGCGAAAGCCUGACGGAGCAACGCCGCGUGAGUGAAGAAGGAUUUCGGUUCGUAAAGCUCUGUUGUUAGGGAAGAAUGGAUAUGUAGUAACUAUACAUGUAAGAGACGGUACCUAACCAGAAAGCCACGGCUAACUACGUG